rnacentral:sRNA from 1 species
AUCAGCCCGGUAACCACAAUUAUUACUACCACCAUUACCACAGGUAACGGUGCGGGCUGACGCAUAAAGGAAAUACGAAAAAAGCCCGCACCUGAACAGUGCGGGCUUUUUUUU